rfam:Fusarium poae strain 2516 chromosome FPOA_4 Chr4, whole genome shotgun sequence.
ACCUCACCGCAAUAGUAAUUGAGCAUAGUACGAGAGGAACCGCUCAUUCAGAUAAUUGGUUUUUGCGGCUAUCUGACCGGGUCGUGUUAGGAAGCUACCAUCUGCUGGAUAAUGGCUGAACCCCUCCAAGUCAGAUUCAUACCAGAAUGCAGCAAUGCUACUGACAUAAAAAUAAAAGAUAAGAAAGAAUAAUAUUAAAUAAUUUACAGAAAAUCUACUUACGUAAGAUUCUUUUAAUCAGUUGUAUAUCAUUUCUUUUAAGUUCUGUUAAUCCUUAUUGUGUCUGGACUAGCCAUUAGGUUA